rnacentral:rRNA from 1 species
GGUGAACGCUGACAGAAUGCUUAACACAUGCAAGUCGAGGGGCAGCAUUAUCUUAGCUUGCUAAGAUAGAUGGCGACCGGCGCACGGGUGAGUAACACGUAUCCAACCUUCCGGUUACUCGGGGAUAGGCUUUCGAAAGAAAGAUUAGUACCCGAUGUUGCGUAUCUUUCUCCUGAAAGAUACGCCAAAGGAUUCCGGUACCCGAUGGGGAUGCGUUCCAUUAGGCAGUUGGCGGGGUAACGGCCCACCAAACCUUCGAUGGAUAGGGGUUCUGAGAGGAAGGUCCCCCACAUUGGAACUGAGACACGGUCCAG